ACGAACGCUGGCGGCAGGCCUAACACAUGCAAGUCGAGCGCACCUUCGGGUGAGCGGCGGACGGGUUAGUAACGCGUGGGAACGUACCCUUUUCUACGGAAUAGCCUUUGGAAACGAAGAGUAAUACCGUAUACGCCCUUUGGGGGAAAGAUUUAUCGGAGAAGGAUCGGCCCGCGUUAGAUUAGAUAGUUGGUGGGGUAACGGCCUACCAAGUCUACGAUCUAUAGCUGGUUUUAGAGGAUGAUCAGCAACACUGGGACUGAGACACGGCCCAGACUCCUACGGGAGGCAGCAGUGGGGAAUCUUAGACAAUGGGCGCAAGCCUGAUCUAGCCAUGCCGCGUGAGUGAUGAAGGCCUUAGGGUCGUAAAGCUCUUUCGCCUGUGAUGAUAAUGACAGUAGCAGGUAAAGAAACCCCGGCUAACUCCGUGCCAGCAGCCGCGGUAAUACGGAGGGGGUUAGCGUUGUUCGGAAUUACUGGGCGUAAAGCGCACGUAGGCGGAUUGGAAAGUUGGGGGUGAAAUCCCGGGGCUCAACCCCGGAACUGCCUCCAAAACUAUCAGUCUAGAGUUCGAGAGAGGUGAGUGGAAUUCCAAGUGUAGAGGUGAAAUUCGUAGAUAUUUUGGAGGAACACCAGUGGCGAAGGCGGCUCACUGGCUCGAUACUGACGCUGA
rnacentral:rRNA from 1 species